rnacentral:rRNA from 1 species
CGGAGGAAAAGAAACUAACAAGGAUUUCCAUAGUAGCGGCGAGCGAACUGGAAAGAGCCCAGACUGGUGAUCGGGGCGCCCUGNGUGCUCCCGAGUUGUAGUCUGAAGACNCAUCCUCUGCAGCGGACCGUGCUCAGGUUCCCUGGAAUGGGACGCCGGAGAGGGUGAGAGCCCCGUUCGGUUCGGACCCUGCUGCAACACGAGGUGCCGUCGACGAGUCGGGUUGUUUGGGAAUGCAGCCUCAAUCGGGUGGUAAAUCCCAUCCAAGGCUAAAUACGGGCAAGAGACCGAUAGCGAACAAGUNCCGCGAGGGAAAGAUGAAAAGAACUUUGAAAAGAGAGUUAAACAGUGCUUGAAAUUGCUGGGAGGGAAGCGGAUGGAUGCCCGAGGCGUGGCCCGGUCGAGCGUGGAACGGUGCGCUGCGUGCCACUGGUCUGCAAGCCCGGCCGGGCUGCGUGUCAGCAACGGCACGCGGGUGGCAGGAUAAGGCCCGAUCGCCCCGGCGAUCGGGCGAUGCUGUCCCCCUUGCCGAUUUGGGGUUGGUGCGCCACUCGUGGCGGCGGGCCUGCGUGGCUUCGCCUGCGCCUCCCUGUUUGNUGGCACUUUUGGGCUCUCCAUCCGACCCGUCUUGAAACACGGACCAAGGAGUCUAACAUGUAUGCGAGUCGGUGGGUGAGAAACCCACCGAGGCGGAAGGAAACUGACGUUGUGGGAUCCCACUUGCUGGGUGCACCACACACCGACCUCGAUCUUCUGUGAAGGGUUUGAGUGUUAGCAUACCUGUUGGGACCCGAAAGAUGGUGAACUAUGCCUGAGCAGGGCGAAGCCAGAGGAAACUCUGGUGGAGGCUCGUAGCGAUACUGACGUGCAAAUCGUUCGUCAGACUUGGGUAUAGGGGCGAAAGACUAAUCGAACCAUCUAGUAGCUGGUUCCCUCCGAAGUUUCCCUCAGGAUAGCUGGAGCUCUUGUCGAGUUUUAUCGGGUAAAGCGAAUGAUUAGAGGCCUCGGGGGUGAAACACCCUCGACCUAUUCUCAAACUUUAAAUAGGUAAGACGCCAGGGUUGCUCCAUUGAACCCUGGUUCCGAAUCGGAGCUCCAAGUGGGCCAUUUUUGGUAAGCAGAACUGGCGAUGCGGGAUGAACCGAAAGCCGGGCUACGGCGCCCAAGUGCGUGCUAACCCAGAUCCCACAAAGGGUGUUGAUU